rnacentral:tRNA from 1 species
GGGAUUGUGGCUCAGAGGUAGAGUGCUCACCUAGCACAUGUGAGAACCUGGGUUCGAUCCUCAGCGUCACA